UACGUAGGGUGCAAGCGUUGUCCGGAAUUAUUGGGCGUAAAGAGCUCGUAGGCGGUCCGAUAAGUCGGCUGUGAAAGUCAGGGGCUCAACCCUUGAAAGCCGGCCGAUACUGUCGGACUAGAGUCCGGAAGAGGCAAGUGGAAUUCCCGGUGUAGCGGUGAAAUGCGUAGAUAUCUGGAGGAACACCGGUGGCGAAGGCGGCAGCCUGGACCGAGAUUGACGCUGAGGCGCGAAAGCUAGGGUAGCAAACGGG
rnacentral:rRNA from 1 species